UAAAUUCUGCAAAAUCGCUUGGAUGCCACUCUAUAUACCGAAAUCGGUUCUUUUGACCAUAAUUAACUGUCGUAUUUACGUAUGGACCGGAUUGCCCCUCUAUGUAUUGAAGAGGCAAGCGGACAAGCAGAGCGUUGUUUUUCUCAUAAAUUCCCCAUCACUGAUAGCCCUAACCCUAGACUGCACUGAGGCCAGCGCCUGGCGGCUUAUCACGACGGCGGCGGGGCUGGUGAGGGCGGCGGCGGCACGGCUGCUGAGGCUGGCUGCUAAUCCCGGUAGCUUGUCGUAGCGGUGAUGCUGCUGAGGCCGGCUGCUGAUCCCGACUGCUGGGUGGCGCGUUGGGUGAAGAUGGAGGUGUCUGGAUGCUCAAGUGGGAGGAGUGCGAGGAAAGGAAGGGCUCUCAAACUCUAGGUUGGUGUGGUUGGUCUGUGUAAUCGUGGCUAGCUGCUGAUCCCGGCGGCUCGAUGCAGAGAAAUAUUGAAAUUCUAGGAUGGUGUGGUUGGUAUGUGUAGUCAUGAUCAUUAUUGUUGCUCGGUUUUUAGUUUAGUUCAGUUAUGUAGUAGGCACGUAUGUACCCUUGAAUUAUUUUGGAUGAUGAAUGAAUGAAUGGAUGGAUGGAUAAAUUUGUUGUAAUAUUGUGGAUGAUCAGUGAAAGUGACUGGUUUGUCAGCGAAAUAUAUCUAUUUUCUAUUUUGUG
rnacentral:lncRNA from 1 species